AUUGAACGCUGGCGGCAUGCCUUACACAUGCAAGUCGAACGGCAGCACGGGGCAACCUGGUGGCGAGUGGCGAACGGGUGAGUAAUGCAUCGGAACGUACCUUUCAGUGGGGGAUAACGUAGCGAAAGUUACGCUAAUACCGCAUAUUCUGUGAGCAGGAAAGCAGGGGAUCGCAAGACCUUGCGCUGAUUGAGCGGCCGAUGUCAGAUUAGCUAUUUGGUGAGGUAAAGGCUCACCAAGGCGACGACCUGUAGCGGGUCUGAGAGGAUGAUCCGCCACACUGGAACUGAGACACGGUCCAGACUCCUACGGGAGGCAGCAGUGGGGAAUUUUGGACAAUGGGGGCAACCCUGAUCCAGCCAUGCCGCGUGAGUGAAGAAGGCCUUCGGGUUGUAAAGCUCUUCCGGCCGGGAAGAAAUCGCACGGGCUAAUACCCUGUGUGGAUGACGGUACCGGAAUAAGAAGCACCGGCUAACUACGUGCCAGCCGCCGCAGUAAUAC
rnacentral:rRNA from 1 species